CAGCAGCCGCGGGAAUACGGAGGGUGCGAGCGUUAAUCGGAAUUGCUGGGCGUAAAGCGUACGCAGGCGGUUUGUUAAGUCAGAUGUGAAAUCCCCGAGCUUAACUCGGGAACUGCAUUUGAAACUGGCAGGCUAGAGUCUCGUAGAGGGGGGUAGAAUUCCAGGUGUAGCGGUGAAAUGCGUAGAGAUCUGGAGGAAUACCGGUGGCGAAGGCGGCCCCCUGGACGAAGACUGACGCUCAGGUACGAAAGCGUGGGGAGCAAACAGGAUUAGAUACCCGCGUAGUCCCUGUCUCUUAUAC
rnacentral:rRNA from 1 species